AUUGAACGCUGGCGGCAGGCCUAACACAUGCAAGUCGAGCGGAUGAGGGGUGCUUGCACCCCGAUUCAGCGGCGGACGGGUGAGUAAUGCCUAGGAAUCUGCCCGAUAGUGGGGGACAACGUUUCGAAAGGAACGCUAAUACCGCAUACGUCCUACGGGAGAAAGUGGGGGCUCUUCGGACCUCACGCUAUCGGAUGAGCCUAGGUCGGAUUAGCUAGUUGGUGGGGUAAAGGCUCACCAAGGCGACGAUCCGUAAUUGGUCUGAGAGGAUGAUCAGUCAAACUGGAACUGAGACACGGUCCAGACUCCUACGGGAGGCAGCAGUGGGGAAUAUUGGACAAUGGGCGAAAGCCUGAUCCAGCCAUGCCGCGUGUGUGAAGAAGGUCUUCGGAUUGUAAAGCACUUUAAGUCGGGAGGAAGGGCUGCAGGUUAAUACCUUGCAGCCUUGACGUUACCGACAGAAUAAGCACCGGCUAACUUCGUGCCAGCAGCCGCCGUAACAC
rnacentral:rRNA from 1 species